CGGCGGAGAGGGGGCGCGGCGCAGGUGGCGGCCGGGGCGGGGGCCGGCGGAGCGAUGGGAGCGGGGCGGCCGGGGCCCCGCUAGAGACGAGCGGCCCGGGCCCGUGUUUACACCCCAGCCGCUCGGGAGGCGCGGGGCCGGCGCCCGCGUUGCAGUCGGCCCCUGGAAGGCAGUCAGGAGCCGUGCAAAGUUUGCCGGCCCGCAGGUACGCUGGCGGUAGCGGUCGCGGCAGGAGACUUCUGUGCCCGCAGCGCCCAGCUCGGCUCGUGGCACGUUUGGGCGAGCUGGGAGCCAGGCUGGCCAUGAAAACUGCAAAAUGGGUCUGCAGGUGCAGUUUGUAGUUGCAUUUGGCCGCUUCUUGGCUGCCUGCUAGCGAUAGCUGGCCUGCUGUGGGGAGAGAGCGCUUGCAGCGUUGACCUCGGGCUGGUUUUUAGCCAUCCUCAGACGAACCAGUCGAAGCGAGGGAAAUGCGUUGUUCUUAGAAGUGAAUGAAUUGCCGUAGCGUCUAAGUAUUCCACAGCGGGGCUCUUCCCUUUAGGCAGGUUGGUAGUGGUGGUUUGAGAGCUAGGUGCCUUACUGCCUGCAGAGUAUUGGCUUUAGUUCCCCAAACGGCCCGUGUCAGCUUAGGUCCUGGCAAAGGGUGGAGAGCGGCGGUCUGCCGGGAGGGCAGGCCGUGGCGGCUCCCGAGAGCCAGCUGCGGCGCCUCGUCCCGGAGAGCCCUGGCGGGAGCAGCACAGCUCGCAGCGGGCAAAGCACAAGUGCUUGCGGCGUCAGAGCUUCUUCCCCAUCUUCAGGAGAGUGAGGUAAGGAUAAAACAAGCCUGGUAACAUAGGUCCCCUGCACUGGAAGGUGAUCAGUACCUGUUAAGCUUGGUAAGCGCAACAGAUGCCUUCCCAUAGGUGCUGGUAUGUGUGGGGCAGGGAUUAGUUCUUCUUCGGACCGCUCUUAACAAGUGACAGGAAGUUUUGGAUCAGGUCUCAGAGGAGGCAUGGUCAAGCGCUGCGGAAGCGCAUGUGAAACUGGUCUGGCAGGUUCAACCCUACAAACAAAUGGGAUGGGGCUGGCCUACAUUACAGCUGUGACUGCGCUGCGUGAGGUGGCUGUGCACAUGGAGGACACUGGUGUGAGAAAUCCCGGACAGCGGGACCGGCAGGGGCGUCCCGCAGCACCCGCCUGGUGAGCCUCCUGAGCCCAGGCUUCGCUGGCCGAGCUCUGCCUGCGUCCCCUCUCCGACCUGUGCUUGCAGAGUGGCCGCUGGGCUGCUGGGCGUGCGGCGGCGGUAGGGAGACACAAGUCCCUUUACUGCCUCUGACAGUUCACAGCUGGUCUGGCCCCCAGAAAUAUUGUCCUUUGGGAAGCAUUACAUGCAUACUCUUCCUUUUGGGCAAGAAGGGUUAAAAAUGCAGCCGCAAUUAAAAAUCCUAUUAAUUUGCAGCCCAGGGUAAGAGCAGCUGGGCUGAGCAAAGUGGGUGGAGUUUCCUGUCAGUAGUAAAUCUGUCUCCCCAGUGCACAGCCCUGAUCUGUGGGGCUGACAGGCGCUCCCCCGGCAGGUAAAUCAGCGUCAGUGUGUGGUUUGUCUGCAGCUGAAAUUGGCAGAUUUCAUAAACUCAGAUAUCAGAAAUACCUCCUGAGGGACUGAUUUUCCUGCACUGCAAGGCCCUUAUACACCUCUCCAGCUGUGUUAAGUGGCUGGGAAGUGGGUGUAUUGAGUAGCAAAGAGCAGUGUGGUUGGCUACAGGGAACAGAGCUGGCUGGAAACAUUUCAGAGUGUGAAUGCAGCGGAUGAAAGACAGGGCUCGUGUUAGUAAUGAAAACAUUUGCAAAAGAAGUCCCAUUUUAGACCAUCUCUAGUAGUUAUACACCAAGUGCUGGAGCCGUACUCAUGGUUGGACAUGGUGCUGCACCAGCUGACCACAGAGACAUUUCACAGUUGUGUAGCAUCAGGCUUGGCCUUAGAGCUCUUCUCUGAGACGUAGUUACAUUACAAGCUUUCCGUCUCUUCAGAGGAGCUUUUCAGGGCCUGUCCAGUGAGUCACAGAGAUACUGCCUCUCUGAACACAGAUGGAUGGCCUGAUUUUCCAGAGGGGUGAGCGCUUGCAAGUCGUGCUGGAGUCAAUGGAGAAGAGGUAGCAAAUGGGUGAAACAGUACAGGGAGAUCAGUCAAAAUGUUUGAGCAUCAUGUCCUGGGGAAAUUGUUGUUGCUCAUCUUCUUCUCUAGACCUUUCUAAAAGGGAGUCCUGGAGAGUGAAUAAUUUCAAAUCACUUUAAGCUGUAGCAGUUGAAGUAGCAGAGGCAAAGAGGAACAUGGUCCUGUUCCCCUCACUGCCAGUUCAGGAGUGCGAUGAAGAACACAGGGCGACAUGAAAAACAUCUUAGAAAAUAGAAAAAUAUUGUGCAGGGAUAGAUAGCUAUUACUAGCAUGGCAGUAAUGGUACCCUUUAUUUCACUGACUGUUCUGGUAGACCUAGUACACAUUGACAAUGUAAAUAUACAAGAUGCGUUGCAAAAGUUACUUUGCUCCUUCCCCUGUCCAGACAUUUGCAAAAAACCCAUCAUGUGCCCUAUGUGGAGCAAAACUUGCACUGCGAGGACUUCCUCCCCAGAGACUGGGUAUCUGCCAAGCUCUCAGAUGUCUGCAGGCUCCCUACUGACCUGGCGCCCACUUGUUGGGUGGCAUGUUACAGCACUGGUGCAGGAGCAGGAAACACCUCUACACCUCUACUGACAUCAGGACAGAUCAAUAUCGUAGUGAAACUCUGUUUUGUUGGACAGUUUCAAACAAUAAACAAAUAUAUUGUCAAGAAUAGCUGGUGAGGAGAUAGCUGGAUCUUGGAAGGGAAUACCUCCUCCUCCAUCAUUGGUAUUUUGGUGUUCUUCGAAAAUGAAAAACUGAUACAUACUUAAGGGCAGAGAAAUGUUGAGAACUGUCUUAAAAAUAAUGCUUUGCUCUCCAUGCCUGCUUUCCCACCAGCGCCUGGGGCUAUUUCUGAGUCUAUCCCAAACUACCCCUCUACCAAGCAGUGUAAGGACUUCGAUAGUGUAAGACCACAGCUGUCUUGGUGCCUUGUCUCAUGCAAGAUUUAGUGGUCAUUCCGCACAGCAACCCUGGAAAAUUGGAGGCUGUAGUGGAAAUGACAAAUAGCUGUUGGCACUGUGAAUUCAACACCAGGGGCCAAACUCUGCCCAGCGAAGGGGAAAGUUUGCUGCAGUCCCUCCGAGCCGUGAGAAACUGUGUCACAGGUUGAAGCAGCUCUGAGCACAGAAAGGCAGGAAUGAGUCAUCCACACUUGAAGGUCAGUAGCGGGGCUUCCGCUGGCUGCAGGAGUUUGUCAAGCCUGGCCCUGGCCUGCCCAGGUCCCUUCCGAGUGGGCUGUGUCGGGAGCAGAGCCCAGGCGUGGGGCGCAGUGGUGUGCAGUGCCCGUGCUGGCUGGCGCCCGGGGCAGAGGGAGACCAGCCCCUGCACCCGGGCGGUGGCACAGUGUGGGUGUACGGGCUCACAGGAUGGAGCCUUUCCUUGCAUCGAAUGCAACGGCUGAGCCAUGGAGCAGCAGCCGUAGAAACCAGCACGUGGUGCCACCCUGCUCCCCUGGGUUGGCACGGCGUCGUGCGGACUCCCCCAGCCGUGUGCGAGGGUUGAAUGCCACCUCCCAGUGCCAUGGCGAGAGGCCCGUUUAGGCAGUGCUUCCCUGCAUGCUGCGGGUGAGGUGUCCCUGGGUAUUACUGACUGUCCAGAAAGCCUUUGAAACCUGCAGGGCCGAAGCAAAAUGGUGCCACUCUCUCGCACACAUCAGUAACAGGCCAGGGAGGUGCUGGAGGAAAGACUUCAUGUUAAAGGAAACAUGAUCUAACAAGUCCUUUAGCUAGGACGACAGAAAGAUUUAAACACGGGUUUUUAAGUGUAUGCAGGACAACUGUCAAGUUCAGAGAGAGAUCAGGAGUUCAUUGGAGAGAGACAUUAGGAACAAAGCUUACUCCAGGGAGCUGUUAGUUCCCUUUGGGCUGCGGAGGAUUUAGUGUCUCUGUGUGUCAAUGUAUUGUGCACGUUAUGAAGCUCGCAAUCCUGGCAGCUUUGAUAUGUUCAAGUUUUUCUUUAAAACCCCUGUGGAUAACAAAGUGACUUUUAUUUAACAUGAGAGGUAUUGACAAGCUCCCCCAGGAAAGUUCUCAAAAGGGGCUUUUCAAAUAUUAGCUUCACUUUUAGAUGAUUUUUUUUCCCCUGGAAUAUCCAGAAGUGGUUUGUUUCUGACAACACCAAAAAUACAUUGGGUGUCCGCUGACGCAGGAAAGAUAUGCCCUGUGCUGGUUGGACUCCUAGACUAGUGUUCAGUGUCCCUAUCUAAAGCUUUUGGCUCAACAGAUGAUGCUUUUGUUUGGAAAGCCUGAAGUUUAUAGUACAGAGUUAUUCGUCUGCUUCAGAGACUGAAAGCAGCUGGUGGGACUGACACGGGCAGGUUAGGUUGUUACGCAAAAUGCAAGCAUAGAAGAGUCACGAAAGCAAAGCGUCAGCUCAGAGGCUCCAGCUGGGCUGUUAUUGCCCCGAUGGGCUAGCUGCUCUCCUCAGCUUUUCCUUUUGCUGGGAGGGUGGAGGAGCCCUGGGCUGGCUGCGUGCAGAGGGAUGGGGUUGUGCAGCACACGCGUGCCGCCGAGUGCCGCAGCUCCCAGGCACCGGCGGCAAGGAAGGAGUGACCUGGUGUUGAGGCUUCAGUAAGAAAUGCUAUAAAUUGACUCUAGCCCUUUUUACUGGGCCUGGCCUGCCCUGUACUGUUACUCAGGCAGAAGAUUAGGGAAGUAAAAACUAGCCAUGAAAUACAGCUUCGGUUUUGGAAAUCUUUCUUUGAAGAUGUGCUUUUGUUUCUGUUGUGUGGGAACAGCUGAUGCUUGAAGGAGACUGAAAUCUGUUUUACAGUAAAGGAGACAGUGGCAGUCUCACCUUUUCCCCUGAUUCAUGCUGAGCCCAGUGUGUUAUUUCUGUAUAACCAAGCAUGUUAGGUAUUUCUGUACCAGGGAAUCAUAAACGUUUUCAUAACAUAAACCACAUCUUUCACGCACCACUUUGAAGGCAGGAAUGACUGUUUGGAUCCAUCUUCUUCAGCCUUUUUGGAAUUACGUAACAGUUCUCUGGCAACGGCAGCAAAUGUUUGUACAAGCGAACAGAGCUGGGGAAGAACAUCAUGUAUUUUUAGCUGUCUUAAUUUGAUUCAGCCAUUGAAAACACAGGGAAACACACAGCAGUAGCCAGCUCUCUAACAACUGUUGCUCUGCCUCUUUGCAAGGAGACAAAUGUAAAGAGCUGAGGGGGGGAAAAAAAGGUGCUUCCAAUAAUACAUCAUUCCCUGGUGAAGAAAUAAAGAAACUUGCACUUCCAUUUGAUUUGUCAUCUCUGCAGCAAAGCCAAGCACCUGAAAGAAGCAGCCAAAAUUUAGUUUGCUCGUGCAGUCUUAAUUAGCCCCAUUGUGUACAUGCAAUAUGAUGCUGUCUUUAGUUGCACCAUCAAAUAUUUUCUCAUGCUAUAGCUGCCAUAGAUGCCAAGCCCUUAUUUUCCUGGACAUUCAAGUGUGGCAUAUACCUUCAUUAACAUGGCUGGGCUUUCCUCCCCGGUGGGGCCGUGCAGAACAGUGUUAUCCCCCCUUUUGCGGGUGUGAAACCAGAGGAGGCAGUGGCAGGUCCCUAGUGAAGCAGGAUUAGAGCUGCGGUCGGUCCCAAGAACCCGGCACCUCCCCGGCUCUCUGUGACUGCACUUCUCCAGGUCAGAUCAAGCCAGAAAGAUGAGGGGACCCCCCCACCCCCCCACCCCCCCCGUGGCCACCGGCUAGCACAUCUGGUGUGACUUAACCUCACUGGAGAAGCUUGCUGCGGUGGCAGGGAGGAGCGGGCUUUUCCUCGGGGCAGUUGCUUUGCCUCCACCCCGGGCCGGCUCCGCGGGUGCUCGCUGAGCACUGACUCGCUCCUGGCAGCCCCUCGGUGCUCAGGAAGGGCAGUGCUCACUGGGCGCCUCUUCAUUGCUCUGGGACGGCAGGGUUGGGCCAGGUGUGAGGCUGCAAGAGCUGGCGCUGUGAUCCUAGAUCAGCUCUAUACAGAAUCACACAGGAAUGAAUAAUCCUGGUUAAAUGCAGGCUCUGACAAGUGCCGCCAGCUCGAAGUCCUGGAGUAAAACAUUGAAGAGCUAGUUCAUAGCCUGGGUACUAUCCGAGCUGUGCAUUGAAUAGGAUGGCAAACACAGCUAGUACGUGAUCACAUAAACAACGUGCACAUCAUAGCAGACGUUACACAGGCAACCUAAAUAUGACUCUGCUUGGCUGUCAGGUGUUUGACUCUCCAACAAAAUGACAUCCUUUUCCCUGUUUCAAGCAGAUCGUUCUGUCUCCAACAGUAACAGCUUCUGCAUCCUGUUGUUUGCACCUGAGCCUCCAGCAGAGCCUGGACUGCGGGCUGGUAGCAUCAGCCUGGCUGUGGCCACAGGGCUGGGCACGCAUGCGGGCACGUGCUGAGGCUCUCGAGGUGACAUGCUGAGUCCUCUCCAGGACUGGCACUUCUCUCCCUAUUUCCCUUUCUUCAGUAACCUGAGAUCUCCAUUACAAAAAACGGGCUUCUGGAUGAGUCAAGGAGAGGAUGAGAGAAAUUACUGCCCCAGCACAUACUUGGGAAGGCUUGAUACCUACAUGAGAAUUUAUUGCUUUUAGUUUCUGAAUCGCUUUUGGACUUGAAUAAGCAAAUAGUGAUGCAUGUUUUUAAUAGCUGCAAGAACUCCAGCAGAACUUCUGAGCCUGCCCGGCUGAUUAAAUCCAGUGAAGGCCCAGUGAAAGCUCUUGCUAAGUUCCUAGGCAGAGCCAGCUGUAUAAAGGACUUUGGGAAGAACGCAGAUUUGAUUCUGAAGACUUUUUACUGUGUGAAAUUUUAUGAAGCAGAAGACAUGUAUAUUAGCUGAUCGAUAGAAGUGUCAUAUACACAAGCAAUACAGUAGAUACAUUCCUGAUACGUUAAUUUCACAUGGUGACGAUGAUAAUAUUUCCUCCAGCAACUUAAUUAAUUUUGUAAAAAAAUUCCUAGUAAAAGAAAUGUCAUUGCAUUUUUUUUUUGUCAAGCUGAUAAAUAUGAUUUAACUGCAAGAGAAAAGCAACUGAAAAACAGGUUUGCACUGGAAAACUAGUGCUCUCUUUUUCUGUUUUGUUCUGUUGUAAAAGGAGUAAACUCUGGGUUUUCAUUGCUUUGAUUGCUUGGUGGUGCUUGUUUUCUUAAUGUGAAAUUGAAGUUGUCUCUGUCCUGAAAAACUGUGCUGGCCAAAAAAAUAGUGAAAUAUCUGAAGAAUAUUGAAGUUAAGAGAACAAGGGGAAAGAUUUUUUAAUCAGUCCAAAUGUUUUACAUUUCUCAUAUCCGUGGCUUAUUUUUGUCUUCUCAACUUCAACUUCAACACAAAAUUUAGGGAAAAGCAGGCCUUUGCUAAAGAUUCAACACCUCCAUCCUGAGAUUUCCCAAGAAGCAUGUUUGGGGAGAGUAGGUACGUCCUCCGACUAAACCAGAGGAGACCAAAGCAGGCUGUUGAGUGUGACCUUUUCAGAUCUUAUGGGAAAAGAGACAAAACCAAAGAAGUCGUUUCUUGAAGCUUUCUGUGCUGUAAAGGAACGUGCAUGUCAGACAGUCUGUUAAAGUAAACUUCUCUCCUGGGUCAAAUGCAUCUUGGUUUCAGGAAGAGGUCGCAGAAGUGUCUGCGGGAUGUGAGGGCUCGGUCCGCAUUGCUUCGAUGUGGCUGUGUGAACCCUCCCGGAGGCUCCCGCACUCCCCAGACCGCAGCACCUGGAGGGCACGUCCUGGGUUGGAGGGACAGCAUGUGGGACGGAGCUGGGUCCUGCCCGUGCUCGCUGCACCUUGGUGGGCACCAACACUGCUGUGUACGGCUGAUGUGUGUCCCGGGCUGCAGCUGGACAUGGCCACAUGGCCCAAGUCUGGAGCUCUUCCCUGCACCUGGGAAACUGGCACUGCUGGUGGGGAACUGCUCACUGGGAGGGCAGGACAUUCGGCGGGCUUGCUGGAGGUGUGGAUUUGUUUCUCAUCCCAGUCUGAGGAGAGGAGAAGGAGAGCAAGCAAGAAGCUGCUGGCUAGAGCGCUCAGCUGGGAAGAGAGACUCGGGUUGUGCUCCCUGGAGAGCCUGUGUUGUAUUUACAUUAUACAAUCAUUGGCUAAAAGACCAAAAGCAAUUCAGGAAAUAGGGGUGUGUGUCCGGGACUCCUCCCUUCUGGCACAAAAGUUCUUCACCACCAGCCUGAAGAGUUAAGCUCCCUGCUCCUGGCCCACAUGUUAUCUCUCCCUCUCUGCAGUUUAGCUGGUGCCCUUUGCUGCCAAGGGAGAAGGCGUCAGCAGGAAGGGCGAAGGGUGCUCCACUUCCCGUCUGGAGACAGCUAGCUGCUGAGCCUGGGCCGUCCAACGCAUCCGGAGAAGCGGAUUCACAGAUGCUUCAGGAACUUCGUUGAAAAAGCAAGGUGCCUGCUGAGACUGGCUGCUGCAUGCACAUGUCUCUGUGUGCAGGAGGGCGCAAGUGGAUUGCAAUUUGCACUUAGGCAUUUCAAGUCCCCGGAGAUCCUAUGUUAAGUUCCCAAAUUCUCAUGUAGGCUCCCACAUCCCGUUCUGAGUCUGAAACUGAGAUCAUGAUUUCAUUUGUGCUUUCACCAAGAAUUAUUUUGUUCAAA